rnacentral:misc_RNA from 1 species
CUGCUGGGAGCGCAAAGAAUGAUACACACAUGACGUGACUACGGACGACUCGCUAUACAUAUAAACAGAGGUCGAUCGAUCUAUACAUGACAUGCAUGCUUAUAUACUCAGCAAAUACCACGUAUCAUCGGCUGUAGACGACUCGUACGGCCACACAAAUCACAUAGCUGGAGCUGAGGCCCAGCACUAGCUAGGGAUGGCUAGUGGUGUCACCGUCGUGAUGGCCGUCGCCGCCACCAAUCCCGCCAUGGUUAGUCACGGCGAUGAGCUCCGACAGCGCCCUGAGCAGCUCGACCCUCGCCCGGAGACGCACGAUGUAGUCGGCGGUACGGAGGAGCAGGCGCUCGGCAGGCAUCGCCGCGGCGCCGGGCACCAGCCGCCGGAGCUCGCGAACUUUCCGCCCCAAAGCCAUCUCCCCAAGCCGCCGCCGGCGGCUUCCGUGGCACGGCGACCGACGCCUCCUUCCCUCCAUGUAUCUGGCAACGGCGAGUGUCAGAAGAAGAUCGAUCGUGCGUACGCGACGAC